UACGUAGGGUGCGAGCGUUAAUCGGAAUUACUGGGCGUAAAGGGUGCGCAGGCGGUUGAUUAAGUCAGAUGUGAAAUACCUGGGCUUAACCUGGGAAUGGCAUUUGAGACUGGUCGGCUAGAGUGUGUCAGAGGGGGGUAGAAUUCCACGUGUAGCAGUGAAAUGCGUAGAGAUGUGGAGGAAUACCGAUGGCGAAGGCAGCCCCCUGGGAUAACACUGACGCUCAGGCACGAAAGCGUGGGGAGCAAACAGG
rnacentral:rRNA from 1 species